UACGUAGGGUGCAAGCGUUGUCCGGAAUUAUUGGGCGUAAAGAGCUCGUAGGCGGUUUGUCGCGUCUGCUGUGAAAACCCGAGGCUCAACCGCGGGCCUGCAGUGGGUACGGGCAGACUAGAGUUCGGUAGGGGAGACUGGAAUUCCUGGUGUAGCGGUGAAAUGCGCAGAUAUCAGGAGGAACACCGGUGGCGAAGGCGGGUCUCUGGGCCGAUACUGACGCUGAGGAGCGAAAGCGUGGGGAGCGAACAGG
rnacentral:rRNA from 1 species